rnacentral:rRNA from 1 species
UACGGAGGGUGCAAGCGUUAUCCGGAUUCACUGGGUUUAAAGGGUGCGUAGGCGGGCAGAUAAGUCAGUGGUGAAAUCUUCAAGCUUAACUUGGAAACUGCCAUUGAUACUAUUUGUCUUGAAUUAUCUGGAGGUAAGCGGAAUAUGUCAUGUAGCGGUGAAAUGCUUAGAUAUGACAUAGAACACCAAUUGCGAAGGCAGCUUACUACACAGUUAUUGACACUGAGGCACGAAAGCGUGGGGAUCAAACAGG